rnacentral:rRNA from 1 species
UAGUAAUACAAGGCAGACGGCUCAGUAACACGUAGUCAACCUACCCUAUGGACAAGAAUAAUCUCGGGAAACUGGGCAUAAUUCUUGAUAGAUCAUAAUGCCUGGAAUGGUUUAUGGUUAAAAUGAUUCGUCGCCAUAGGAUGGGACUGCGGCCUAUCAGCUUGUUGGUGAGGUAAUGGCCCACCAAGGCGAUUACAGGUACGGGCUCUGAGAGGAGAAGCCCGGAGAUGGGUACUGAGACACGGACCCAGGCCCUAUGGGGCGCAGCAGGCGAGAAAACUUUGCAAUGUGCGAAAGCACGACAAGGUUAAUCCGAGUGAUUUCUGCUAAAGAAAUCUUUUGCCAGUCAUAAAACCACUGGCGAAUAAGGGGUGGGCAAGUUCUGGUGUCAGCCGCCGCGGUAAAACCAGCACCUCAAGUGGUCAGGAUGAUUAUUGGGCCUAAAGCAUCCGUAGCCGGCUUUGUUAGUUUUCGGUUAAAUCCAUGUGCUCAACGCAUGGGCUGCCGAAAAUACUGCAUAGCUAGGGAGUGGGAGAGGUAGACGGUACUCAGUAGGAAGGGGUAAAAUCCUUUGAUCUAUUGAUGACCACCUGUGGCGAAGGCGGUCUACCAGAACACGUUCGACGGUGAGGGAUGAAAGCUGGGGGAGCAAACCGGAUUAGAUACCCGGGUAGUCCCAGCUGUAAACGAUGCAGACUCGAUGAUGCAUUGGCAUAAUAGCCAGUGCAGUGUCGCAGGGAAGCCGUUAAGUCUGCCGCCUGGGAAGUACGUACGCAAGUAUGAAACUUAAAGGAAUUGGCGGGGGAGCACCACAAGGGGUGAAGCCUGCGGUUCAAU